rnacentral:rRNA from 1 species
AAGUGCUCGUAAGAGAACCGGAACACAGGUGCUGCAUGGCUGUCGUCAGCUCGUGUCGUGAGAUGUUGGGUUAAGUCCCGCAACGAGCGCAACCCUUGUCAUUAGUUGCUACGAAAGGGCACUCUAAUGAGACUGCCGGUGACAAACCGGAGGAAGGUGGGGAUGACGUCAAGUCCUCAUGGCCCUUAUGGGUAGGGCUUCACACGUCAUACAAUGGUCGGGACAGAGGGUCGCCAACCCGCGAGGGGGAGCCAAUCCCAGAAACCCGAUCGUAGUCCGGAUUGCAGGCUGCAACUCGCCUGCAUGAAGUCGGAAUCGCUAGUAAUCGCGGAUCAGAAUGUCGCGGUGAAUACGUUCCCGGGUCUUGUACACACCGCC